rnacentral:tRNA from 1 species
GCGCGUGGCUUAGUGGUUAGGGCAUUCGGCUUAAGAUCGUUAGGUCGUGAGUUCAAUCCUGACAACGCGUA